GCCACAUGAUGUUUAAUAGAUUACAUUAGCACAUUGUGCCAAGAUGACUUAUAUCUAUCACCCUUGACUGAUGGCU